rnacentral:rRNA from 1 species
AUGGCUCCAGAGAACACAGAGCAAGCUCCCAGCCCACGGAGCAAGCCAAAUGAGGGGUUCGACUUCGAGCCGCAUCCGGAGCUGCUCAUGGCCGCGCGGCGCGGCGACCGGGGGCAGCUCGAGCGUCUCCUUGGCCAAAAAGACGACGCAGCAGCGGCGCCCCAGCCGGCGCCAGUGCGACCGGCACGUCGUGAUGUCAUCGUCCACAUCGAGGAAGCCGUCAAUGUCGAAUCGGCAUCCACGGUAACCUCGGCCGACGCGCUCACCAUGGCGCGGGACUCCGUUCUCCACGUGGUCUCGUCGCGGGGCGACGCCGAUCAGUUCCUGAAGAGCGCGACGGUGAUCUACGACAGGGCCCGUCACCUGCUCGACGCCCGGAACGGCACCGGCGACACGCCACUGCACUGCGCCGUCCGCGCCGGGUGGGGCAGAAUGGUCGCUCAUCUCGUGGAUCUCGCGAAAGCGGAGAAUGGUGGCGGCGGCGGCGAGAGGUUGAAGGCGAUGCUGAGGAUGCAGAACGAGCAGGGAGAGACGGUGCUCCACGAGGCGGUCCGUUUGGGCAGCAGGGACAUGGUCGCCCGGCUGAUGAAGGAGGACCCCGAGCUAGCUCGAGUUCCGCCGGCCGAUGGCGCCUCGCCGCUGUACUUGGCUGUCUCGCUGGAUCACGACGACAUUGCACGGCAGCUCUAUCAGAACGACGAAGGGCUCUCCUACUCUGGACCAGACGGGCGAAAUGCCUUGCAUGUGGCCGCUCUCAAGGGCAAAGGGACAAUAAAAAUGCUACUGGAAUGGAACAAUGAUCUCAUCAGACAAGCAGACCGAUCCACUAGAAGCACGCCUCUCCACUUUGCGGCAUCAUGGGGGGAGCACGAGGGGAUCAGCUUACUGCUGGAUGCCGACCAAUCCGCGGCGUAUCAGGCAGACAGCGACGGAUCAUUUCCCAUACACGUGGCAGCGUACGCGAACAAAGUCAAGGCAGUCAACGUCUUGCUCGACGGCCGCCAGGACUGCGCCGAGCUACACGACGCCAAUGGCAGGACCUUCCUCCACGUGGCCGUCCUCGAGGAGAGCCAGUCGGUGGUGACGUACGCCUGCAAGCUGCAGAGCAAGAAAUUCUCAUCGUCGGUGAUGAACAUGCAGGACAAGGACGGCAACACCGCGCUGCAUCUUGCGAUCCAGAUGGGGAACGUGUGGAUCUUCAGUCCUUUGAUGAAGAACCGCAAAGUUAAGCUGAAUCUGAGAAACAACAAGGGCCAAACGCCGCUGGAUCUCUCGUGGAUCACGACACCUGCAGGGGUUCAUUACGGAUUGAACCCAAGAAUUAUGAUACAUAAGUUGCUUCAAGAUGCCGGCGCAAAGAAUGGCACUUUUAGAUGCGAUCAUUUCCACAAAGAACAUAUUGUUAUGCUAGACCCCAAGGAAGAAGCGCAGAAGAUAACCGACUCCACACAGACCAUCGGCAUCGCCUCCGUCCUGAUCGCGACGGUCGCCUUCACCGCAGCCUUCGCCCUGCCCGGUGGCUACAGAGCCGAUGACCAUCCGAAUGGUGGCACGCCGACGCUGGCCAGACACUACGCGUUUGACGUGUUCAUCAUCGCCAACACGCUGGCCUUCAUCAGCGCGUGCCUAUCCAUCACCAGCCUCAUGUACGCGGGGGUCACCACCGUGGACAUCCGUACCCGCAUGAUCUCCUUUGUUAUUUCGGUCACGUUCAUGGCCGGCUCGGCGAGGAGCCUCGCCGCCGCCUUUGUGUUCGGGUUGUACGUGGUGCUGGCUGCGGUCGCGCGCACGACGGCCAUUGCAUCUUGUGCUAUCACGGCUCUCGCCUUGGUCGAUGCCGUUUGGGUCUUCUCGAUGGUGACCAACGGGGAGCUGAUGUUGCUGAAGAGGCUUGGAGUUCGGGCAUGGUGGAGGCUGCCAAGGGCGAUUUUGCUGACCUUUCUGACGGAGUUUUGGCCUUACAUUGUGAUCGCUGGGGUGCUAAUAUUUUACAAGGUUGAUAGAGUGCAUUGA